rnacentral:rRNA from 1 species
UUCCGUUGAUCUGCCGAGAUACUGCUAUCGUGUCGCUAAGCCAUGCGAGUCAUAUGUAGCAAUACAUGGCGUACUGCUCAGUAACACGUGGAUAACCUGCCUUGGGACCGGCAUAACCCCGGGAAACUGGGGAUAAUUCCGGAUAACGCAUAUGUGCUGGAAUGCUUUAUGCGUAAAAUGGAUUCGUCUGCCCAAGGAUGGGUCUGCGGCCUAUCAGGUAGUAGUGGGUGUAAUGUACUACUAGCCAGCGACGGGUACGGGUUGUGAGAGCAAGAGCCCGGAGAUGGAUUCUGAGACAUGAAUCCAGGCCCUACGGGGCGCAGCAGGCGCGAAAACUUUACAAUGCGGGAAACCGUGAUAAGGGGACACCGAGUGCCAGCAUCAUAUGCUGGCUGUCCAGGUGUGUAAAAUACACCUGUUAGCAAGGGCCGGGCAAGACCGGUGCCAGCCGCCGCGGUAACACCGGCGGCCCGAGUGGUGAUCGUGAUUAUUGGGUCUAAAGGGUCCGUAGCCGGUUUGGUCAGUCCUCCGGGAAAUCUGAUAGCUUAACUAUUAGGCUUUCGGGGGAUACUGCCAGACUUGGAACCGGGAGAGGUAAGAGGUAC